GACGAACGCUGGCGGCGUGCUUAACACAUGCAAGUCGAACGGGCUCUGUCUGGCUGUGUGCUGGGUGGGGUUAGUGGCGAACGGGUGAGUAAUACGUGAGUAACCUGCCCUCUUCUUUGGGAUAAGCCUUGGAAACGGGGUCUAAUACUGGAUAUUCCUGUCUGGUCGCAUGGCUGGGUGGGGAAAGUUUUUUUCGGUGGGGGAUGGGCUCGCGGCCUAUCAGCUUGUUGGUGGGGUGAUGGCCUACCAAGGCGUCGACGGGUAGCCGGCCUGAGAGGGUGACCGGCCACACUGGGACUGAGAUACGGCCCAGACUCCUACGGGGGGCAGCAGUGGGGGAUAUUGCACAAUGGGCGCAAGCCUGAUGCAGCGACGCCGCGUGGGGGAUGACGGCUUUCGGGUUGUAAACCUCUUUCGUCGGGGGACAAGGCUCUGCUUGGUGGUGGGGUUGAGGGUACCCGGUGAAGAAGCGCCGGCUAACUACGUG
rnacentral:rRNA from 1 species